CGCAGCGAACGAAAGCUGAACCGUCGUUCUUGUGUGUCUCGCGGCCGGUGACGGGAGUGAGUGACAAGCCAAGAAAAGUUAAGCAGAAAAUUUUUAAAGCACCUUAUGUGUCAUGUUAUAUGACAAUUGAAGAAAAUAUGUGAAAAAAUAUAAAGAAAUUCAAUGGAAAUUUAAUUUGAGUGGAGAAAAGUUGAAGCAAAGCAACUAAAAAUACAGUGGCAAUGUGCGUAAAUUGGCGUGAAUAAUUGUCUGCAGCAAAAAAUUGUUGUGGUAGCAAACAAAAGGAUUCCAACAAUGCAUACUAUUUAAGAUGAUCCGGGCGCAUCUUUUUUCUGAGUGGUCACCGGAAAUGGCGUCGCAAUGACCAAGUUUAAUAUAUGUAUUUUUUUCCAAAAAUUUCGGGAUUUUUUUGCUAAUAGUGUAUGUUUUUAACAAUAAAAAAUUCACGUAAAAUAUUUUAUUUUUUAUAUGAGAAAAAAAUUGUUGAAAAAAUGCUGGUUUUUACCCAAGGAAACCUAUGUAACGAAGAUAAAAAAGUUGAUUUUAUAUUAUGGUACGAUAUGUAUAUACAAUAAUAAAAAACGCUUUACAAAAUAGGUGAACAGCAGCCCCAAUGUAGACCUCCAUCACACCUAAAAACAAUAAUGUUGUGUACAUUAAUUAAUGCGGCCAAAUGACAAAAAACAACGAGCAAACAAAAUUAAUUCUUUAACGACAUAUUUAAAGAUAAAUUAUUAUUUUAUG